rnacentral:rRNA from 1 species
AACCAGCUCUUCAAGUGGUCGGGAUGAUUAUUGGGCUUAAAGUGUCCGUAGCCGGUUUAGUAAGUUCCUGGUAAAAUCAGGUAGCUUAACUAUCUGUAUGCUAGGAAUACUACUAUACUAGAGGGCGGGAGAGGUCUGAGGUACUAUAGGGGUAGGGGUGAAAUCUUAUAAUCCUUGUAGGACCACCAGUGGCGAAGGCGUCAGACUGGAACGUGCCUGACGGUGAGGGACAAAAGCCAGGGGAGCGAACCGGAUUAGAUACCCGGGUAGUCCUGGCCGUAAACGAUGCAUACUAGGUGAUGGCCCGGCCAUGAGCCGUGUCAGUGCCGUAGGGAAACCGUUAAGUGUGCCGCCUGGGAAGUACGGUCGCAAGGCUAAAAACUUAAAGGAAUUGGCGGGGGAGCACCACAAGGGGUGAAGCCUGCGGUUC